rnacentral:lncRNA from 1 species
UUUUUUUUUUUUUUUUUUUUUUUUUUUUUUUUUUUUUUUUUUUUUUUUUUUUUUUUUUUUUUUUUUUUUUUUUUUUUUUUUUUUUUUUUUUUUUUUUUUUUUUUUUUUUUUUUUUUUUUUUUUUUUUUUUUUUUUUUUUUUUUUUUUUUUUUUUUUUUUUUUUUUUUUUUUUUUUUUUUUUUUUUUUUUUUUUUUUUUUUUUUUUUUUUUUUUUUUUUUUUUUUUUUUUUUUUUUUUUUUUUUUUUUUUUUUUUUUUUUUUUUUUUUUUUUUUUUUUUUUUUUUUUUUUUUUUUUUUUUUUUUUUUUUUUUUUUUUUUUUUUUUUUUUUUUUUUUUUUUUUUUUUUUUUUUUUUUUUUUUUUUUUUUUUUUUUUUUUUUUUUUUUUUUUUUUUUUUUUUUUUUUUUUUUUUUUUUUUUUUUUUUUUUUUUUUUUUUUUUUUUUUUUUUUUUUUUUUUUUUUUUUUUUUUUUUUUUUUUUUUUUUUUUUUUUUUUUUUUUUUUUUUUUUUUUUUUUUUUUUUUUUUUUUUUUUUUUUUUUUUUUUUUUUUUUUUUUUUUUUUUUUUUUUUUUUUUUUUUUUUUUUUUUUUUUUUUUUUUUUUUUUUUUUUUUUUUUUUUUUUUUUUUUUUUUUUUUUUUUUUUUUUUUUUUUUUUUUUUUUUUUUUUUUUUUUUUUUUUUUUUUUUUUUUUUUUUUUUUUUUUUUUUUUUUUUUUUUUUUUUUUUUUUUUUUUUUUUUUUUUUUUUUUUUUUUUUUUUUUUUUUUUUUUUUUUUUUUUUUUUUUUUUUUUUUUUUUUUUUUUUUUUUUUUUUUUUUUUUUUUUUUUUUUUUUUUUUUUUUUUUUUUUUUUUUUUUUUUUUUUUUUUUUUUUUUUUUUUUUUUUUUUUUUUUUUUUUUUUUUUUUUUUUUUUUUUUUUUUUUUUUUUUUUUUUUUUUUUUUUUUUUUUUUUUUUUUUUUUUUUUUUUUUUUUUUUUUUUUUUUUUUUUUUUUUUUUUUUUUUUUUUUUUUUUUUUUUUUUUUUUUUUUUUUUUUUUUUUUUUUUUUUUUUUUUUUUUUUUUUUUUUUUUUUUUUUUUUUUUUUUUUUUUUUUUUUUUUUUUUUUUUUUUUUUUUUUUUUUUUUUUUUUUUUUUUUUUUUUUUUUUUUUUUUUUUUUUUUUUUUUUUUUUUUUUUUUUUUUUUUUUUUUUUUUUUUUUUUUUUUUUUUUUUUUUUUUUUUUUUUUUUUUUUUUUUUUUUUUUUUUUUUUUUUUUUUUUUUUUUUUUUUUUUUUUUUUUUUUUUUUUUUUUUUUUUUUUUUUUUUUUUUUUUUUUUUUUUUGUAAGUUCUUAUUUCUUCUACUCAUAAUAAAAAAGAAAACCACUACAAAACUACAGUUUUGUUAAGUGGGAUUAGGGUUGUCCAAGUUUUGAUUUUGUCCCCA